rnacentral:rRNA from 1 species
UACGGAGGAUCCGAGCGUUAUCCGGAUUUAUUGGGUUUAAAGGGUGCGUAGGCGGGAGAUUAAGUCAGCGGUGAAAGUUUUCAGCUUAACUGAAAAAUUGCCGUUGAAACUGAUUUUCUUGAGUGUAAAUAAGGUAGGCGGAAUGUGUUGUGUAGCGGUGAAAUGCAUAGAUAUAACACAGAACCCCGAUUGCGAAGGCAGCUUACCGGGCUACAACUGACGCUGAGGCACGAAAGCGUGGGGAUCAAACAGG